rnacentral:rRNA from 1 species
UACGUAGGGGGCUAGCGUUGUCCGGAUUUAUUGGGCGUAAAGAGCGUGUAGGCGGCCAGGUAGGUCUGCUGUGAAAACUCGAGGCUCAACCUCGAGACGUCGGCGGAAACCAUCUGGCUAGAGUCCGGAAGAGGAGAGUGGGAAUUCCUGGUGUAGCGGUGAAAUGCGCAGAUAUCAGGAAGAACACCCGUGGCGAAGGCGGCUCUCUGGGACGGUACUGACGCUGAGACGCGAAAGCGUGGGGGAGCGAACAGG